rnacentral:rRNA from 1 species
UUCCGCGUGCAGGACGAAGGCCUUCGGGUUGUAAACUGCUUUUGUACGGAACGAAAAGGUCUCUAUUAAUACUAGGGGCUCAUGACGGUACCGUAAGAAUAAGCACCGGCUAACUACGUGCCAGCAGCCGCGGUAAUACGUAGGGUGCAAGCGUUAAUCGGAAUUACUGGGCGUAAAGCGUGCGCAGGCGGUUAUAUAAGACAGAUGUGAAAUCCCCGGGCUCAACCUGGGAACUGCAUUUGUGACUGUAUAGCUGGAGUGCGGCAGAGGGGGAUGGAAUUCCGCGUGUAGCAGUGAAAUGCGUAGAUAUGCGGAGGAACACCGAUGGCGAAGGCAAUCCCCUGGGCCUGCACUGACGCUCAUGCACGAAAGCGUGGGGAGCAAACAGGAUUAGAUACCCUGGUAGUCCACGCCCUAAACGAUGUCAACUGGUUGUUGGGUCUUCACUGACUCAGUAACGAAGCUAACGCG